rnacentral:ncRNA from 1 species
GCAAUCGACACGGGGUGCCGCUGCACGGCGGCUGAGAACACACCCGUCGAACCUGAUCUGGCCAGCACCAGCGUAGGGAUGUCUAUGUCUGAGCUG